rnacentral:rRNA from 1 species
AUACGUAGGGUGCGAGCGUUAAUCGGAAUUACUGGGCGUAAAGCGUGGGCAGGCGGCUUUUUAAGCCAGAUGUGAAAUCCAAGGGCUUAACCUGGGCACUGCAUUUGGAACUGGAAGGCUAGAGCGCGGGAGAGGGGGGUAGACUUCCACGUGUAGCAGUGAAAUGCGUAGAGAUGUGGAGGAACACCGAUGGCGAAGGCAGCCCCCUGGGUCGACACUGACGCUCAUGCACGAAAGCGUGGGGAGCAAACAGGAUUAGAUACCCUGGUAGUCCACGCCCUAAACGAUGCGAACUAGGUGUUGGGGAAGGAGACUUCUUUAGUACCGUAGCUAACGCGUGAAGUUCGCCGCCUGGGGAGUACGGUCGCAAGAUUGAAACUCAAAGGAAUUGACGGGG